rnacentral:lncRNA from 1 species
CGGGUCUGCGUGGGGCGGCCUCGCCUCACGGCCUUCCCGUGCUACCCCCGUGCCCGGGAGAUGCCCGCACGUCUCCCCGGGCCCGCCUGAUGCCCAAGAGACGACCCCCGGCCCGCCCCGCCUCUCGCUGAGAUAAUAAACACGGGUCUCUCAACGCCGCCGGAGAAACCUGGGCUGAUAUCAGGAAAUACCCGAAAGUGAUAAACGAACUCCUCCGAUUGUUCUUUCUCCAGGCAGUACCCCGGCCGAGCCGCCAGAUGUCAGCACGAGGCUUUGUGCCUCGCUCCGCUCUCAGUGACUGCUCCAGUCGCCAAAUAGCACGAAGCUUUCCCGUACAAUCCCAGGCCCUGCUUCAGCCCAUCCGCCUCUCCCGCUCAGAAGGUAUUUCCUAAUAACAAUUCAGGGAAUUUUAUGCUACAAACUGAGGUUGUCUGAAUAUUUCUCCUCUAUCUGACUCUCCAGCCAGCCUCUCAGGAUAUCGUAGUGACUAAAUCACAACUGACCUAGGCUAAGGGAGCUGUGGAAGUUAGAAGUUGUAACACGUUUACAUUCCGUGGCUAUACAUUGGUCAAAGGGUGGAUACAUUAAAAGAUUCUAGACUUAAAUUUACAUUCCUAUCACUGCACAAACUGUCUUUCCUCUGUAAUGUGUGUACUGUAGUAACCAAUCACACAUUCACAUUGAUGUUUUUUUGUAGUCACAGGACAAGAUAAACCUGGCUGUAAAUGGACUGUUGCAGCUGUUAUUCUUAGCUGUGUUCACCUAUGCUUUGUUUCUUUAUGUUCCUUUUCACUGUUUUUCCCUACACGUACCUGAACAUAAGUAGGAUUCCUUACAGACUUUUUUGGAAGUAUAUGAUGAGCAACCAUUGAGAUUGGAUGGAAAGCAUCAGCAGCACCAGGAAACUCUUGGCAUAUGGAUAGUCUGAAUUGCUUCUGCAUGGGAUCCAGUGUGGGGAAUGCUCUGAAUCACUGUAACAGAGGUAUAAACACGGGACUUACAGGAAUAUGCCUGUAUUCAGAUAACAGAUCUGAAUGGUUUUGUUCCUAGUGCGGCCAGGGGAAAACUCCUACUGGUUUCUGCAUUGCUCUGCUUUGCAUUGUGUAAAUUAGGUAAUGGACAGAUAAAUAAUCGGUUUUCUAAGUGUUAUUUUGAACUGUUCUUUUGAGGCUGGAACCUGCCAAGCCUUCCCACAUCAUGCUGUAGCAUAAAGGGCUCUUAAUGCUCCCAUCGUCGUUAAUUACAUUAGUAAUUAAGGACGAAUGGAGCUGCAGGCUCUGCUGUUUUGGGCCCUGCACAAACAAAGCAGUAAUGUAAGUGGCAGUCCCUGUCUUGGAGAGCUUCAGACUAAAUGACAAAGAUGGGUGGAAAAAAUCUACCAGAAAUAUCUGGAAUGCAGUUUACUUUUUCUCUUGAGCCCCAUCCACGUGAAUCUUAAUGAUUUAUUCACGGGUUUUGAUAUUGUUGAUUCUGAUGUGCCAUCCUAAUACAGAACUUGCAUUUCUGGCCUGUACCUUUCAAUAACCAGUUAUGUGUUUUUUGUCUUUCAGCGGGGACAGGUUUCCCUGCCCGUGCUGGUGUAACAGGUUUGCCUUGUUCCCCUCCCAGGUCUUUGUGCAAAAGGAAAUUCCACUGCAAAUUUGCCUCAGAUGAUAGCAGUGCUGCUUUGUGCUUGGACUCUGUGCAGUCUUUUUGUUCAGCUGUUCAUGGAUUAAGGUCUCAAAGAGUUGUGAUGCAAUUAUGUUCUCUGGUUUUAUAACGUGUUCUGGGUGAACACAAGGCUAGGGAAGGACAGCAGCCCCUGGUAUCCUUCUGCUGAGAGCCUGUGGAGGUAGAAGCCCUUGGGAUGAUGUGGUUGUGCUUUAGGCAGGAUGGCAUGCUCAGAUAUUCAAAUACAUUGGCAACAGCAGGAAGAAGUACUCCGUGAAAUGAGUUGAACAGCCUCUCUUAGUUGUGAUGUAGUCCUUUAAAGAUAUCAGUGCUUAGUGGUGAACAAAAGCAAUGCCUGCUCUGUGUCUCACAUCAAGGGUAGCAGCAUUCCACUCUUAAGCCCAAACCAGUGGGGAUAAAAUGAGAUGCAGUUGCAUUAUUAGCAUCAUGCCCAGCCUCACUGUUCUGAAUGUUGGAAUCACUUCAGUUAUCCUUUUGUUUUUUCCUCAUGCAGGUUGAUAUCCAGAUGCCAUCCAGUGAAAGGGGAAGUGCAUGAAUCCAGGGGAGGCAAUGCAUGCAGCAGCUGCGCAGCUAUCAGAUCCCAGCCCUCUGCGAGCAGAAUCUGUCCUCCUCAGGGGAGUAAAUUUGCUCCCCCCACGUAAGUCUUUCAUGAACAGAUGCAGCAAUAAACACAAAACAGGAAUCUGAAGGUCUUUUCACGUUUCUUGUAGCUGAAAAGCAGAAGUACCAAAUCACAUUAGGUGACGCAGCUCAAAUAAACGCUGUUGCAAAGGAAGAAGAGCACAAAAUCAAUCUUAUUUCUCCAGCCGGGAAA